GGUUAAGCGACUAAGCGUACACGGUGGAUGCCCUGGCAGUCAGAGGCGAUGAAGGACGUGCUAAUCUGCGAUAAGCGCCGGUAAGGUGAUAUGAACCGUUAUAACCGGCGAUUUCCGAAUGGGGAAACCCAGUGUGACUCGUCACACUAUCAUUAACUGAAUCCAUAGGUUAAUGAGGCGAACCGGGGGAACUGAAACAUCUAAGUACCCCGAGGAAAAGAAAUCAACCGAGAUUCCCCCAGUAGCGGCGAGCGAACGGGGAGGAGCCCAGAGCCUGAAUCAGCAUGUGUGUUAGUGGAAGCGUCUGGAAAGGCGCGCGAUACAGGGUGACAGCCCCGUACACAAAAGCGCAUGUGCUGUGAGCUCGAUGAGUAGGGCGGGACACGUGGUAUCCUGUCUGAAUAUGGGGGGACCAUCCUCCAAGGCUAAAUACUCCUGACUGACCGAUAGUGAACCAGUACCGUGAGGGAAAGGCGAAAAGAACCCCGGCGAGGGGAGUGAAAAAGAACCUGAAACCGUGUACGUACAAGCAGUGGGAGCACAGGUUUACCUGUGUGACUGCGUACCUUUUGUAUAAUGGGUCAGCGACUUAUAUUCUGUAGCAAGGUUAACCGAAUAGGGGAGCCGGAGGGAAACCGAGUCUUAACCGGGCGUUAAGUUGCAGGGUAUAGACCCGAAACCCGGUGAUCUAGCCAUGGGCAGGUUGAAGGUUGGGUAACACUAACUGGAGGACCGAACCGACUAAUGUUGAAAAAUUAGCGGAUGACCUGUGGCUGGGGGUGAAAGGCCAAUCAAACCGGGAGAUAGCUGGUUCUCCCCGAAAGCUAUUUAGGUAGCGCCUCGUGAAUUCAUCUCCGGGGGUAGAGCACUGUUUCGGCUAGGGGGCCAUCCCGGCUUACCAACCCGAUGCAAACUGCGAAUACCGGAGAAUGUUAUCACGGGAGACACACGGCGGGUGCUAACGUCCGUCGUGAAGAGGGAAACAACCCAGACCGCCAGCUAAGGUCCCAAAGUCAUGGUUAAGUGGGAAACGAUGUGGGAAGGCCCAGACAGCCAGGAUGUUGGCUUAGAAGCAGCCAUCAUUUAAAGAAAGCGUAAUAGCUCACUGGUCGAGUCGGCCUGCGCGGAAGAUGUAACGGGGCUAAACCAUGCACCGAAGCUGCGGCAGCGAACGUAUCACUUAAAGCGAUUCAGCGGGUUACGAUUGACGGAGCGAAGCGACGUCAAAGCGUAUACAAAGUCGAGUCGGUUUAAGGAUACGUUCGUUGGGUAGGGGAGCGUUCUGUAAGCCUGUGAAGGUGUGUCGUGAGGCAUGCUGGAGGUAUCAGAAGUGCGAAUGCUGACAUAAGUAACGAUAAAGCGGGUGAAAAGCCCGCUCGCCGGAAGACCAAGGGUUCCUGUCCAACGUUAAUCGGGGCAGGGUGAGUCGACCCCUAAGGCGAGGCCGAAAGGCGUAGUCGAUGGGAAACGGGUUAAUAUUCCCGUACUUGGUGUUACUGCGAAGGGGGGGACGGAGAAGGCUAUGUUGGCCGGGCGACGGUUGUCCCGGUUUAAGCGUGUAGGUGUGUGUUCCAGGUAAAUCCGGUUCACUUUAACACUGAGGCGUGAUGACGAGGCACUACGGUGCUGAAGCAACAAAUGCCCUGCUUCCAGGAAAAGCCUCUAAGCAUCAGGUAACAUCAAAUCGUACCCCAAACCGACACAGGUGGUCAGGUAGAGAAUACCAAGGCGCUUGAGAGAACUCGGGUGAAGGAACUAGGCAAAAUGGUGCCGUAACUUCGGGAGAAGGCACGCUGACAUGUAGGUGAAGUGAUUUACUCAUGGAGCUGAAGUCAGUCGAAGAUACCAGCUGGCUGCAACUGUUUAUUAAAAACACAGCACUGUGCAAACACGAAAGUGGACGUAUACGGUGUGACGCCUGCCCGGUGCCGGAAGGUUAAUUGAUGGGGUCAGCGCAAGCGAAGCUCCUGAUCGAAGCCCCGGUAAACGGCGGCCGUAACUAUAACGGUCCUAAGGUAGCGAAAUUCCUUGUCGGGUAAGUUCCGACCUGCACGAAUGGCGUAAUGAUGGCCAGGCUGUCUCCACCCGAGACUCAGUGAAAUUGAACUCGCUGUGAAGAUGCAGUGUACCCGCGGCAAGACGGAAAGACCCCGUGAACCUUUACUAUAGCUUGACACUGAACAUUGAGCCUUGAUGUGUAGGAUAGGUGGGAGGCUUUGAAGCGUGGACGCCAGUCUGCGUGGAGCCGACCUUGAAAUACCACCCUUUAAUGUUUGAUGUUCUAACGUGGACCCGUAAUCCGGGUUGCGGACAGUGUCUGGUGGGUAGUUUGACUGGGGCGGUCUCCUCCUAAAGAGUAACGGAGGAGCACGAAGGUUGGCUAAUCCUGGUCGGACAUCAGGAGGUUAGUGCAAUGGCAUAAGCCAGCUUGACUGCGAGCGUGACGGCGCGAGCAGGUGCGAAAGCAGGUCAUAGUGAUCCGGUGGUUCUGAAUGGAAGGGCCAUCGCUCAACGGAUAAAAGGUACUCCGGGGAUAACAGGCUGAUACCGCCCAAGAGUUCAUAUCGACGGCGGUGUUUGGCACCUCGAUGUCGGCUCAUCACAUCCUGGGGCUGAAGUAGGUCCCAAGGGUAUGGCUGUUCGCCAUUUAAAGUGGUACGCGAGCUGGGUUUAGAACGUCGUGAGACAGUUCGGUCCCUAUCUGCCGUGGGCGCUGGAGAACUGAGGGGGGCUGCUCCUAGUACGAGAGGACCGGAGUGGACGCAUCACUGGUGUUCGGGUUGUCAUGCCAAUGGCACUGCCCGGUAGCUAAAUGCGGAAGAGAUAAGUGCUGAAAGCAUCUAAGCACGAAACUUGCCCCGAGAUGAGUUCUCCCUGAGACUUAGAGUCUCCUGAAGGAACGUUGAAGACGACGACGUUGAUAGGCCGGGUGUGUAAGCGCAGCGAUGCGUUGAGCUAACCGGUACUAAUGAACCGUGAGGCUUAACCUU
rnacentral:rRNA from 1 species